rnacentral:rRNA from 1 species
CCUACGGGUGGCAGCAGUGAGGAAUCUUGGUCAAUGGGCGCGAGCCUGAACCAGCCAAGUAGCGUGAAGGAUGACUGCCCUACGGGUUGUAAACUUCUUUUAUAAAGGAAUAAAGUGAGGCACGUGUGCCUUUUUGUCUGUACUUUAUGCAUAAGGAUCGGCUACCUCCGUUCCAGCAGCCGCGGUACUACGGAGGAUCCGAGCGUUAUCCGGAUUUGUUUGGUUUAAAGGGAGCGUAGAUGGGUUGUUAAGUCAGUUGUGAAAUUUUGCGGCUUAACCGUAAAAUUGCAAUUGAUACUGGCAGUCUUGAGUACAGGUGAGGUAGGCGGAAUUCGUGGUGUAGCGGUGAAAUGCUUAGAUAUCACGAAGAACUCCGAUUGCGAAGGCAGCUUACUAAACUGCCACUGACGUUGAGGCUCGAAAGUGUGGGUAUCAAACAGGAUUAGAUACCCCUGUAGUC